AUUGAACGCUGGCGGCAUGCCUUACACAUGCAAGUCGAACGGCAGCACGGGUGCUUGCACCUGGUGGCGAGUGGCGAACGGGCGAGUAAUACAUCGGAACAUGUCCUGUAGUGGGGGAUAGCCCGGCGAAAGCCGGAUUAAUACCGCAUACGAUCUACGGAUGAAAGCGGGGGACCUUCGGGCCUCGCGCUAUAGGGUUGGCCGAUGGCUGAUUAGCUAGUUGGUGGGGUAAAGGCCUACCAAGGCGACGAUCAGUAGCUGGUCUGAGAGGACGACCAGCCACACUGGGACUGAGACACGGCCCAGACUCCUACGGGAGGCAGCAGUGGGGAAUUUUGGACAAUGGGCGAAAGCCUGAUCCAGCAAUGCCGCGUGUGUGAAGAAGGCCUUCGGGUUGUAAAGCACUUUUGUCCGGAAAGAAAUCCUUGGCCCUAAUACGGUCGGGGGAUGACGGUACCGGAAGAAUAAGCACCAGCUAACUACGUG
rnacentral:rRNA from 1 species